AAUCACGCAGCCAUAGCGAACUAUUCUUUUGACUUUUACUAAAGAAUACUGUGUGCUCGCUGCAGAACGUGGCAUACGCCUAUUUUUGGAGGGCUCUUUCUCUGGGAAGGGU